GACAGAGGGUGCAAACGUUGUUCGGAAUUACUGGGCGUAAAGCGCGUGUAGGCGGCCAACUAAGUCGGGCGUGAAAUCCCACGGCUCAACCGUGGAAGUGCACUCGAAACUGGAUGGCUAGAGUCCUGGAGAGGAAGGUGGAAUGCUUGGUGUAGAGGUGAAAUUCGUAGAUAUCAAGCGGAACACCGGUGGCGAAGGCGGCCUUCUGGACAGUGACGUGACGCUGAGACGCGAAAAGCGUGGGGAGCAAACAGGG
rnacentral:rRNA from 1 species